UACGGAGGAUGCAAGCGUUAUCCGGAUUUAUUGGGUUUAAAGGGUGCGCAGGCGGGAGAUUAAGUCGGCGGUGAAAUUUUGCAGCUCAACUGUAAAAGUGCCUUCGAAACUGGUUUCCUUGAGUGUAGAUGAAGUAGGCGGAAUUUGUGGUGUAGCGGUGAAAUGCAUAGAUAUCACGAGGAACUCCGAUUGCGCAGGCAGCUUACUAAACUACUACUGACGCUCAGGCACGAAGGCGUGGGGAUCAAACAGGAUUAGAUACCCCUGUA
rnacentral:rRNA from 1 species